UGCGGGAUAGAGCAGCGGUAGCUCGGUGGGUCUAAUCCACAGGACGGCAGUUCGAUUCUGCCUCCCGCCAC
rnacentral:tRNA from 1 species